rnacentral:snRNA from 1 species
AUGCUUGCUUCAGCAGCACAUAUACUAAAAUUGGAAUCAUACAGAGAAGAUUAACAUGGCCCCUUCAUAAGGAUGACAAACAAAUUCAUGAACUGUUCCAUAUUUUU